UUAAAGGUUCACUUCUACAUUGGUGUAUAUUUGUUUGUACUGCUGGUAAUUUCUUCAACUAGACGUAACAUGCCAGCAUUAGUGAGCAAGAAGUUAGCAGCAAGUUGAGUAUUUACACCAUGGAAGUGAAGCAGAAUUUCUAGACCCAUUUGUUGCCUUCUAAUCAUGUAAAAUUUGUCAUUUUGAAAUAAAUUUUUCAUAAUAACUUA